GUCAAGAUUUCCAAGGAGACACAUAAAGGAAGAGAAUGACGCCAUCGCCUCACCAGGAAAAUCCUGAUCCAAAUUUUACCCGAAGAAACCACAUCCCCAUGGUAAACGGGGCAUGAGUGCCUUCAAGAAAACAUGCAUGACACUAAAAUAAAACAUGCAUGAUGAUAAAGUCAAGCUAGGUUUUCAACAGCGGCGAAUGAACCCCAACCAAAGAGCCAAAGAGGGCCGUCCGGUGCAGAUCCUCUUUGCACCGUUUCAUCUCGUCCAAUCAAGGCGAUGAGCUGUGGCCGGCUUGAAGAAGGUCUCCGGGUCUGACUCCACGGCGUCGGCCAGUCGCGGCCACAUCCUGGCAGUCACCAACCACGAGCCAUCCUCCGUGGGGCUCCGGAUGACCCUAUGGCGGCCGAGCCCAGCGGCCCCGGACACACUCACGGCAUCCCAAGCCGCGGCCGCCCGAACCCGAAGUCGCCCUCCACCGGGAACGGCACGAAUGACGGCCCAGCUGCUAGCCAAGGAAAGAGCAAGGAAGGUACCAGGGUUGUUUUUGCAAAAAACGGUUCACAUUGGCACCUGACAAGUGGGCCCAAAUAGCCACGUAGGCACCAAGCACGCGCUCGAGCCACCUUAGGACUUGCGCUGAACCUCUGCUGCAUUUUACUCUAUUGUUUUCUUCCCGCCUAGUCUGAACUCUAUCUCCAAGCUCUGGUAUAUUCUUUUUCAGUGUUUCUGUUUGUAGUCGAUGUUCGCUCAGUUUCCCCAAAUCAGUAGGGCAACUCUCUUCUACUACUCCCUCCGUCCCAUAUUAAGUGACCCAAAUUUGUCCACACAUGGAUGUAUCUAUGCCUAAAAAGCGUCUAGAUACAUGUAAAAAAGUCUAUUGAUAUGAGACGGAGGGAGUAAUACCGAACGGCCAGGUCCUGUCCUAAAAGAAAUAGGAACCUAUGGGGGCUGCAGUCUGAUGGUAACACGAAGUUGCUUGACUAC